UAAGCAAGACAACAGUAGAGAUGCAGCUAGUUCCCACCACUGCCACCAGGGAUCCAGCGAUGUUCCGUCGGCUUGUGGUAGGUGAUGCUGGU